rnacentral:rRNA from 1 species
UUUGUAGGUAAUCUAUAAACAGUAUCUACGCACAUAAGGACAGGUCAAGACUAGUGCCAGCCUCCUGCGGUAAAAUCUACGCUGUUCAAGAUGAAAUAGUCACGAUUAUUGGGCUUAAAGCGUCCGUAGCCGGUUUAGAAAGUCUUUCCUGUGCAAAUCCUCUAAGCUUCUAACUUAUAAGGUACUUGCAGGUACAUAUACUCCUAUAACUAGGGGUUGGGGGGGGUUUGAGGGAAUUCCUAGGGUAGCGGUCGAACAUGUCUAUAAUCCUAGGCACAGACCACCGAUGGCGAAGGCACUCAACUAGAACAUGCCCGACGGUAAGGGACGAGAGCUAGGGGAGCAAACCGGAUUAGAUACCCGGGUAGUCACUAGCCGUAAACGAUGCAGACUGAGUGUUUCUUGAACUUUGGGUUCCAAGCAAGUGUGCUGACAGCGCAAGUCCGCUUCCACGUCCCGUCUGUCCUGUACGAUCGUGCUUCAAGUAGUGAUGAAUGGUCGCCACUAAUCCCAGCUGCUUCAUCAGUACGGCAGCACCGCUGAUACUUCAAUACAUCGGCGGGGUAGCACCACAAGGGGUGGGUCAUGCGGUUCUACUGGAUUCCAUGCCGUAAAACUCACCAGGGGCGACAGUUUAUUGAAGGCCAGGUUGACGACUUUGCCCACUAGCUGAGAGGUGGUGCAUGGCCGUCGUCAGUCUCGUACCGUGAGGCGUCCUGUCAAGUCAGGCCACGAGCGAGAUCCUCGCCCUUAGUUGCCAUCGGUGGGAAGCCGGGCACUACUAGGGGGACCGCUGGCGCUAAGCCAGAGCGAAGGAGAGGGCGACGGUAGGUCAGUAUGCCCCGAAUCCCCUGGGCUACACGCGGGUCACAAUGCGCAGGACAAUGGGAUGCAACUCCGUAAGGAGAAGCCAAGCCCCUAAACCUGUCGUCUCGGUUCGGAUCGAGGGCUGCAACUCGUCCCUCGUGAAGUCUGGAAUCCCUAGUAAUCGUCGUGUCCAACACCGUCGCGUGUGUAAUACGUUCCCUGUCUCCUGUCACACACCGUCCCGUUCAAAGUCACUCGUAGUAGGGUCUCGGUAUGUAGGUCUGUUUUCAAGUUGUGUCCGUAUCGUAUCCG